AGCGAACGCUGGCGGCAGGCUUAACACAUGCAAGUCGAACGGGCGUAGCAAUACGUCAGUGGCAGACGGGUGAGUAACGCGUGGGAACGUACCUUUUGGUUCGGAACAACUGAGGGAAACUUCAGCUAAUACCGGAUAAGCCCUUACGGGGAAAGAUUUAUCGCCGAAAGAUCGGCCCGCGUCUGAUUAGCUAGUUGGUGAGGUAAUGGCUCACCAAGGCGACGAUCAGUAGCUGGUCUGAGAGGAUGAUCAGCCACAUUGGGACUGAGACACGGCCCAAACUCCUGCGGGAGGCAGCAGUGGGGAAUAUUGGACAAGUGGGGGAAACCCUGAUCCAGCCAUGCCGCGUGAGUGAUGAAGGCCC
rnacentral:rRNA from 1 species